rnacentral:tRNA from 1 species
GCCCAGGUGGUGGAAUUGGUAGACACGCCGGCCUUAGGAGCCGGUGCCGCGAGGCGUGAGAGUUCGAGUCUCUCCUUGGGCACCA